UACAGAGGUCCCGAGCGUUGUUCGGAUUCAUUGGGCGUAAAGGGCGCGUAGGCGGCCUUCUAAGUCGAACGUGAAAUCCCCGGGCUCAACCCGGGAACUGCGUCCGAUACUGGAAGGCUUGAAUCCGGGAGAGGGAUGCGGAAUUCCAGGUGUAGCGGUGAAAUGCGUAGAUAUCUGGAGGAACACCGGUGGCGAAGGCGGCAUCCUGGACCGGUAUUGACGCUGAGGCGCGAAAGCCAGGGGAGCAAACGGG
rnacentral:rRNA from 1 species